rnacentral:rRNA from 1 species
AACGUAGGACACAAGCGUUAUCCGGAGUUACUGGGCGUAAAGGGCGUGUAGGCGGAUCGGUAAGUCUACUCUGAAAGCUCCUGGCUAAACUGGGAGAGGCGAGUGGAGACUGUCGGUCUAGAGUACGGUAGAGGAGAGUGGAAUUCCUGGUGUAGCGGUGAAAUGCGCAGAUAUCAGGAAGAACACCAAUGGCGAAAGCAGCUCUCUGGGACGGUACUGACGCUGAGACGCGAAAGCGUGGGGAGCGAACAGG